GACGAACGCUGGCGGCGUGCUUAACACAUGCAAGUCGAACGGAAAGGCCCCUUUGGGGGUACUCGAGUGGCGAACGGGUGAGUAACACGUGAGUAACCUGCCCUUGACUUCGGGAUAACUUCAGGAAACUGGGGCUAAUACCGGAUAGGAAUCCUUGCUGCAUGGUGGGGGUUGGAAAGCUUCGGCGGUUUUGGAUGGACUCGCGGCUUAUCAGCUUGUUGGUGGGGUAGUGGCUUACCAAGGCUUUGACGGGUAGCCGGCCUGAGAGGGCGACCGGCCACAUUGGGACUGAGAUACGGCCCAGACUCCUACGGGAGGCAGCAGUGGGGAAUAUUGCACAAUGGGCGGAAGCCUGAUGCAGCAACACCGCGUGCGGGUUGACGGCCUUCGGGUUGUAAACCGCUUUCAGCAGGGGCGAAGCUUGUGGUGACGGUACCUGCAGAAGAAGCACCGGCUAACUACGUG
rnacentral:rRNA from 1 species